CAAGUCUCAGUCAAAAGGCCCCCCACUCCGCGUUCACACCUGCAUACACGCCUCGCACAGAUAUAAAUAUGCCGCCCCUCCAGUUCAACACCUGCAGCCAACAUCUCCAUCUCUACCAGUUCACCUCCAAGCUCGCAAUUCAAGGUUCACACAGGCAUUUCUUCAAACACCUUUCGUCCCACCACCAAAGUUCAGACCUUUCAUGGAAAUUACUCCGUUCCCAUUUCUUAGUCAAGAAGAUGACUCCCAUUUCUAUACCCUGUUGUCCGACAUGGACGAAUUCGACAUAAAUGGCUGGAAUCACAGCCUGAAGAAGCGGAGAAAGGACGAGGGAAACAAUCAUGGUGGCGGCGCUGGAGCUGCUCCUGGGGCAAUGAGCGACAUACUCGCCUCGCUGAUUCUGCUGGACGAGGAGGAGAAGCUGGAGCAGGAGAGGUACUUGGUCGAAGCCCAGGAGGAAAGAUCGAUGCUUGAAGAUAAUCACAGGCGGAAGACUCGAGCUAUGGAGGAGUACUACUCUGAUCUUCAGCAGCACCAUUCUCAAUCCGACGAAUCGGACCUGUCUAGGGCGAAACGGCGUCGACAGUCCGCUUCCGCUGCGGCCGCUGCUGCAGCUGAGGCCUCCGCGGCCGGUCCGGACCCGAGUUCGAGUGCUACGAUCCCGGGUCCGCACCGGAGGCUUUGGGUGAAGGACAGGCCCAAGGUGUGGUGGGAGAAUUUGGGCCGCCCAGACGUUUCGGAGGAGGAGUUUCGAAAAGCUUUUCGGAUGAGCAAGGGGACGUUCGACAUGAUCUGCGCGGAGCUGGAGUCGGCGGUUUUUAAGAAGAACACAAUGCUGCGCGAGGCAAUUCCGGUGCGCCAACGCGUGGCGGUGUGCAUAUAUCGGCUUGCCACCGGGGAGCCGCUCCGGGAGGUUUCGAGACGUUUCGGGCUGGGAAUCUCCACCUGCCACAAGCUGGUUCUGGAAGUUUGCGUUGCCAUCAAGACUGUCUUGAUGCACAAGUUUCUCCAGUGGCCGGACGAGGGCAGGAUGCAGGAAAUCAAGGAGGAGUUCGAGGCCACUUCCGGAAUUCCAAAUAUUGCUGGGUCUAUGUACACCACCCACAUAUCAAUUAUUGCUCCAAAGGUGAAUGUGGCUGCGUAUUUCAACAAGCGGCACACGGAACGCAACCAGAAAACUUCGUAUUCGGUCACGGUUCAAGGGGUUGUCGAUCCGAGAGGCGUUUUCACCGACGUUUGCAUAGGCUGGCCGGGUUCGAUGCCGGACGAUCAGGUGCUGGAGAAGUCUGCCUUGUUCCAGAGAGCAAACAGAGGACUCUUGAAGGAUGUGUGGAUUGUGGGAAAUGCUGGGUUCCACUGAUGGAUUGGGUGCUGGUUCCUUACACCCACCAGAACUUGACGUGGACCCAGCACGCAUUCAAUGAGAAAAUCGGAGAAGUGGAAAGGGUGGCUAAAGAUGCAUUUGCAAAGCUCAAAGGGAGGUGGUCUUGCUUGCAGAAGAGGACUGAGAUCAAGCUGCAGGACUUGCCUGUUGUGCUUGGGGCUUGCUGUGUUUUGCACAAUAUUUGUGCAAUGAGGAAUGAUGAGCUCGAUCCCGAGUUCGAGUUCGAGCUCUUCGACGAUGUGGCAACGCCGGCAAAUAGUCUGAGGUCGGCGGGAUCGGUGCAGGCGAGGGAUCAUAUUGCUCAUAAUUUGUUGCACCAUGGCCUUGCCGCAGGCACCGGUUCUGGUUUUCUAUAGGGGGGUUUUGAGUUCGGCUUUUGUUCUAGUCAUAUUAUAGAGUAAAAGAUGAUAUAUAUUUGGCUUUGUUUAGCUUUGUGUAUAUAAGCAUUUACCCACCUUCUAUCUAUUUAUCUAUUCUAAAUAUACUUCCUUCUUUUUUGCUA